GAUGAACGCUGGCGGCGUGCUUAACACAUGCAAGUCGAACGAAGAAGAGUUGAAUGAGAGCUUCGGCAGGAUUUCUUCUCAUCUUAGUGGCGGACGGGUGAGUAACGUGUGGGCAACCUGCCCUAUACUGGGGAAUAAUCACUGGAAACGGUGACUAAUACCGCAUGUCAUCACCGGAGGGCAUCCUCUGGUGAAAAAAGGAGUAAUUCGGUAUAGGAUGGCCUCGCGUCUGAUUAGCUAGUUGGUGAGGUAACGGCCCACCAAGGCGACGAUCAGUAGCCGGACUGAGAGGUUGGACGGCCACAUUGGGACUGAGACACGGCCCAGACUCCUACGGGAGGCAGCAGUGGGGAAUAUUGCACAAUGGGGGAAACCCUGAUGCAGCGAUGCCGCGUGGAGGAAGAAGGUUUUCGGAUUGUAAACUCCUGUCGUAAGGGACGAUAAUGACGGUACCUUACAAGAAAGCUCCGGCUAACUACGUG
rnacentral:rRNA from 1 species